CCGGAAGAGGAAGGUGGUCGGGGAGCCACCCCCGGGCAGCCCCAUGCUAGGGGCAAAGAGGCUUGCCAGCUCCUGGCUGGAGAAGGCAAAAGGGUUAUUGGUCAUCGGCGCUCAGAAUAGGGGGUGGGGUGAUGGACGUGGGGCUGUCCAGCAGCCCGGUGGCAGCGGCGGUGGCAGCGGCACUGGGAAACCCAGCAAAG
rnacentral:lncRNA from 10 species